AUGUGGCUAAUUCACCAACUUGUGACUGACAGGCCACAAGUGGCCUGGCCUCCCUAUCUACAUUACCACCCCUCUUCCUCCAUUGAAUCCUUCCAUUCCUUUCUUGCCAUCUCCGGCCGCACCACAAUGGCCACCACAACCACCACAACUGUCACCGAACCUGACAAUGCCGACGAGUCUUCACCACCAUCUAAGAAUGUCAUGUACGAGCUAGCCGCGCGGAACAUCUACUACGCGAAGCCGGCCGCGGCGCCGACAUUGUCGCUCGGCCGGCUCCUGAAGCCAUGCGGCGCGGCCCUUUCGACGCCCGAGUACAUCCUCCGCGACGUGUCGCUCACGGCGCGGGCGGGGGAGAUCCUGGCCGUCGUCGGCCCGAGCGGCGCCGGCAAGUCCACGCUGCUCGACAUCCUCGCGGUGCGGACCGCGCCCACCCACGGGCGCCUCCUGCUCAACUCGGCGCCGCUCCGGUCCUCCUCCUUCCGCCGGCUCUCCGCCCACGUUCCCCAGGCGGACGUCGCGCUGUCGCUGCUCACCGUGGCCGAGACGUUCACCUUCGCCGCGUCGCUGCUUUACCAUACGUCGGCGUCCGCGGCCUCGACCGCGGUCACGGCGCUCCUCGCGGACCUCCGUCUGGCGCACGCGGCUCACACGCGGGUCUCCGCGUCCCGGCUGUCGGGUGGCGAGCGCCGGCGGGUCUCCAUUGGCCUCGCCCUGCUCCGCGACCCCGGGGUGCUCCUGCUCGAUGAGCCGACCUCCGGCCUCGACUCCUCCUCGGCGUUCGUGGUCGUCGGCUGCCUCCGCGCCGUGGCGGCCGCCAGAGGCACGACGGUGGUGCUGUCCAUCCACCAGCCCAGCGCGCGCCUCCUCUCCGCCGUGGAUUCGCUCCUGCUCCUCUCCCGCGGCAUCGUCCUCCACCACGGCUCCCUCGCCUCCCUCGACGCCGCCCUCCUCUCACACGGCUUCGCCGUGCCCGCGCAGCUCAACCCGCUAGAGUACGCCCUCGAGGUCAUCGACCAGAUACCCCAUCCCUCGCCCUCCUCCCCUGAACCCAAGUCGGAACAAGAUCUCACAACCAAGACAUCGGAUUCGGACCGCCACAGGCCGGUCAUGGCGACACCGCCGUCGUUGUCGUGUACUUCGCCGUGCUCGCGGAUACAUGAGUUCGUAGUUCUGUACAAAAGGGCGUGGAAGGUGGUGUAUCGCAGCAAGCAGCUGCUAUUGACCAACUUCCUCGAGGCUGUCAUCGUCGGGACGCUGCUGGGCACCAUCUACAUCAACGCCGGCUAUGGCGAGGCCGGCGCACAGAAGCGACUGGGGCUCUUCGCCUUCACGCUGACGUUCCUGCUCACCUCCACCACGGAGACGCUGCCGACGUUCGUCACGGAGCGGCCUAUCGUGCUCGCUGAGACGGCGGCUGGUCUGUACCGGCUGUCCUCCCACGCCACCGCGGCCACGAUGGUGUUCCUCCCGUAUCUCCUGGCGGUGGCGCUGCUCUACUCCUCGUGCGUCUACUUCCUCGUCGGCCUCUGCGCGUCGCCGGCGGCAUUCGCAGUGUUUGUGCUGGUGGUGUGGGCGGUGGUGCUCACGGCCAACUCCUUCGUGCUCUUCAUCAGUUCCUUCGCGCCGGACUACAUCGCGGGAAUGUCGCUGGUGUCGGUGUCGCUGGCCGGGUUCUUCCUCUUCUCUGGCUACUUCCUGUCCCGGGAGAGCACGCCGGUGUACUGGGUGUUCAUGCACUACGCCUCUCCCUACAAGUACGCGCUGGACGCCAUGCUCGCCAACGAGUACUCGUGCGCGGCGAACCGGUGCUUUGGGGUGGCCGGCGCCGGAGAGGAGUGCUCCGAGACGGGGCGCGACGUGCUGGCGGCGAGAGGCCUCACGGCGGAGGAGCGGUGGACGGGAGUGCAGGUGCUGUUUGGAUUCUUCCUCCUCUACCGGGUGCUCUACUGGGUCGUGCUCAGCCGGAGAGCGUCCAGAGCCAAGAGGUGA
rnacentral:rRNA from 1 species